rnacentral:pre_miRNA from 1 species
UCGGCACAGUUAAUGGCACUGGAAGAAUUCACGGGGUUUUAUAUACAACGCCCGUGAUCUCUUAGUGGCAUCUAUGGUGCGAG